rnacentral:rRNA from 1 species
UGAAAUUACCGGUGAGGGUUGUAGCUGGCCUUUCGGGGCAUGUGCACGCUCGAGCCUUUAAUCCAACACACACCUGUGAACCCAAUGUAAGGGCCCGUAAAAAAGGCCCCUACGUCUUUAUCACCAACUCCUGUAUUCAUAGAAUGUAAUCCAUAUCUUCGCCUUAACAAGCGUCGGUAAACUUAUACAACUUUCAACAACGGAUCUCUUGGCUCUCGCAUCGAUGAAGAACGCAGCGAAAUGCGAUAAGUAAUGUGAAUUGCAGAUUUUCAGUGAAUCAUCGAAUCUUUGAACGCACCUUGCGCCCCUUGGUAUUCCGAGGGGCAUGCCUGUUUGAGUGUCAUUAAAUUCUCAACUCCGAUUUGAUUUGUUUCUAAUCGGAGCUUGGACUUGGAGCGUGCUGGCGUCUGGUCGGCUCCUCUCAAAUGCAUCAGCGGAAUCUAACCUUUGGUUUCCGGACGUCGGUGUGAUAAUAAAGUUGCGCCGUCAUUCGACUUCAAAGUCCGCUCAUAAUGGUCUUCGGACGACUCUUAUAUCAAAUUUGACCUCAAAUCAGGUAGGACUACCCGCUGAACUUAA